UACGGGGGGAGCAAGCGUUGUUCGGAUUUACUGGGCGUAAAGGGCGCGUAGGCGGCGCAACAAGUCACUUGUGAAAUCUCCGGGCUUAACCCGGAGCGGCCAAGUGAUACUGUCGUGCUAGAGUGCGGAAGGGGCUACUGGAAUUCUCGGUGUAGCGGUGAAAUGCGUAGAUAUCGAGAGGAACACCUGCGGCGAAGGCGGGUAGCUGGGCCGAUACUGACGCUGAGGCACGAAAGCGUGGGGAGCAAACAGG
rnacentral:rRNA from 1 species